AGUGAACGCUGGCGGUAGGCCUAACACAUGCAAGUCGAACGGCAGCACAGUAAGAGCUUGCUCUUACGGGUGGCGAGUGGCGGACGGGUGAGGAAUACAUCGGAAUCUACUUUUUCGUGGGGGAUAACGUAGGGAAACUUACGCUAAUACCGCAUACGACCUACGGGUGAAAGCAGGGGAUCUUCGGACCUUGCGCGAUUGAAUGAGCCGAUGUCGGAUUAGCUAGUUGGCGGGGUAAAGGCCCACCAAGGCGACGAUCCGUAGCUGGUCUGAGAGGAUGAUCAGCCACAGUGGAACUGAGACACGGUCCAGACUCCUACGGGAGGCAGCAGUGGGGAAUAUUGGACAAUGGGCGCAAGCCUGAUCCAGCCAUACCGCGUGGGUGAAGAAGGCCUUCGGGUUGUAAAGCCCUUUUGUUGGGAAAGAAAAGCAGCAGGUUAAUACCCCGCUGUUCUGACGGUACCCAAAGAAUAAGCACCGGCUAACUUCGU
rnacentral:rRNA from 1 species